rnacentral:rRNA from 1 species
CAGGUGAGUAACACGUGGGCAACCUGCCUGCUAGUAGGGUUAACCCCGGGAAACCGGGGCUAAUACCGGAUAAUACUUUUCAUCACCUGAUGGAAAGUUGAAAGGUGGCUUCUUGCUACCACUUACAGAUGGGCCCGCGGCGCAUUAGCUAGUUGGUGAGGUAACGGCUCACCAAGGCAACGAUGCGUAGCCGACCUGAGAGGGUGAUCGGCCACACUGGGACUGAGACACGGCCCAGACUCCUACGGGAGGCAGCAGUAGGGAAUCUUCCGCAAUGGACGAAAGUCUGACGGAGCAACGCCGCGUGAGUGAUGAAGGUUUUCGGAUCGUAAAGCUCUGUUGUUAGGGAAGAACAAGUGCCGUUCGAAUAGGGCGGCACCUUGACGGUACCUAACCAGAAAGCCCCGGCUAACUACGUGCCAGCAGCCGCGGUAAUACGUAGGGGGCAAGCGUUGUCCGGAAUUAUUGGGCGUAAAGCGCGCGCAGGCGGUCCUUUAAGUCUGAUGUGAAAGCCCACGGCUUAACCGUGGAGGGUCAUUGGAAACUGGAGGACUUGAGUACAGAAGAGGAGAGUGGAUUUCCACGUGUAGGGGGGAAAU